rnacentral:lncRNA from 1 species
CGGCCGUGGCUUGUUUGACGGGUUUGGAUGGGAGACGUGACGGAGCAGCGGUGUCCGGCAGCCAGAACCAAACUAACGUGCUCCAUCCACUGCAGCCGCAGAGGCAAAGCAUUGCUUGUUCAUAGCAAAAUCAAUUAUCCCUCUGGCUGCAGAUACAUCCUGGUGCUUCAUUGGGGAUUUGUCUGUGUGGAUGGAGUCCUGCAUGUCAGAGUGGCACCAGGUGAUGAGCUGGGCAGCAGAGCAGCUUGCGUGCUCCUGCUGUACCUGAUGUCACAUUGGUGUGGUCACUGGCAGCGUCUUGAGGACGUCUGGUAA